GUUGGAAUAAUUUUUAGUUGAUUAAUAAUACUAUUUAAUAAUGGCGAUAAUAGUAAAAUAAUAUGUGGAACGUUAGUACUGACAAAAAAAUGGUAAAAUAUUAAAAAAGUAUGAUAAUGCUAUGAUCAUAGUUGUGUAAUAUUAGUGAUGACAAAAUGAAAUAUUAAUUAUAAAAAAAUAAUCAUUUAACGAUAACAUCAACAUUA
rnacentral:lncRNA from 1 species